rnacentral:sRNA from 1 species
CGCACGCGGGUUUCGGCACUGCAGGUAUGUCCCCGCAGAUCGUCGCUCCGGUGCCGGAUUGUUCCGGCUCACACCCCGCGGAGGCUUAACCGGAAAAGGAUAGGA